UGGCUCAAAGGUAGAGCGCUUGCCUUGCAUGCAUGAGGUCCUGGGUUCGAUUCCUCAG
rnacentral:tRNA from 1 species